GGGGAAGUAGCUCAGUGGAUAGAGCGGUUUUCUAGCUAGAGUGAAACAGAUUUCAAGUCGAUGGUUCGAAUCCAUCCUUCUCCACCA
rnacentral:tRNA from 1 species